CGCGUAGGCGGUUCGCUAAGUUGGAUGUGAAAACUCUGGGCUCAACCCAGAGCCUGCAUCCAAAACUGGCGGGCUAGAGUUCUGGAGGGGGUAGCGGAAUUCCUGGUGUAGCGGUGAAAUGCGUAGAUAUCAGGAGGAACACCGGUGGCGAAGGCGGCUACCUGGACAGAAACUGACGCUGAGGCGCGAAAGCUAGGGAGCAAACA
rnacentral:rRNA from 1 species